AUAAGAGUAGGGCUCCCUACGUCUUCAGGGCUACAACCUGCCGCCUAAGCUCGGCCAUCUUACCUG
rnacentral:tRNA from 1 species